CUGCUGCCUUCCGUAGGAGUUUGGACCGUGUCUCAGUUCCAAUGUGGGGGACCUUCCUCUCAGAACCCCUACGCAUCGUCGGCUUGGUGGGCCGUUGCCCCACCAACUACUUAAUGCGCCGCAUGCCCAUCCGUGACCGGGGUCGCCCCCUUUGGCCGGCAGGGGAUGUCCCCUCCCGGCAUUAUGUUGUAUUAGGCGGGAUUUCUCCCGGUUAUCCAUCUGUCACGGCCAGGUUGCAUACGUGUUACUCACCCGUGCGCCGGUCGCCGGCGG
rnacentral:rRNA from 1 species